rnacentral:rRNA from 1 species
CCAGACUCCUACGGGAGGCAGCAGUGAGGAAUAUUGGUCAAUGGGCGGGAGCCUGAACCAGCCAAGCCGCGUGAAGGAAGAAGGCGCCAAGCGUCGUAAACCUCUUUUGUCAGGGAACAAAGGCGGGGACGUGUCCCCGGAUGAGUGUACCUGAAGAAAAAGCAUCGGCUAACUCCGUGCCAGCAGCCGCGGUAAUACGGAGGAUGCGAGCGUUAUCCGGAUUUAUUGGGUUUAAAGGGUGCGCAGGCGGAAUGUCAAGUCAGCGGUAAAAUUUCGGGGCUCAACCCCGUCGUGCCGUUGAAACUGGCGUUCUUGAGUGAGCGAGAAGUAUGCGGAAUGCGUGGUGUAGCGGUGAAAUGCAUAGAUAUCACGCAGAACUCCGAUUGCGAAGGCAGCAUACCGGCGCUCAACUGACGCUCAUGCACGAAAGCGUGGGUAUCGAACAGGAUUAGAUACCCGAGUA